UACGUAGGGUGCAGGCGUUAAUCGGAAUUACUGGGCGUAAAGCGUGCGCAGGCGGCUUUGCAAGACAGAUGUGAAAUCCCCGGGCUCAACCUGGGAACUGCAUUUGUGACUGCAUGGCUAGAGUGCGGCAGAGGGGGAUGGAAUUCCGCGUGUAGCAGUGAAAUGCGUAGAUAUGCGGAGGAACACCGAUGGCGAAGGCAAUCCCCUGGGCCUGCACUGACGCUCAUGCACGAAAGCGUGGGGAGCAAGAGGG
rnacentral:rRNA from 1 species